rnacentral:rRNA from 1 species
CGCAACGGCCAUACUCGCACGUGAACACACCAGUUGCUCCGUCCGAUCACUGAAGUUAAGGCAACGUCGGGCCCGGUUAGUACUUGGAAUGGGUGAGCCGCCUGGGAACCGCGGGUGCUGUUGGUA